AGUUGUGGUGGUUUUCCUUUUGGCACAUUUGUUAAGUUUUCAAAUGGGCCUAACUCUGCCACAUAUAUUAUAUUGGAGAUGGAAAAGGCUUGUGGCAGAGAUAUCUCUCUUAAGCCUUUCCUGUAUCACAGAAUGGCUCCCACAUGU
rnacentral:snoRNA from 1 species